UGGUGCCUGUUUUGGUAGGUACAUUUUCUUGGAAUAGUGUCCUGGACAAUGAAGAAGAAAGACAUGUGGAACCUGGGCCAUUGAGAUAAUCACACAGCCACGGCACAGUGUUUACAUCCUUGUAUUUCCACUAACGUGUAGCUGCUGAACUCAAUCGUGGCCUAAAAUCAUAGCAUCCUGCCUGCAUAACUACUUCUAGAUGGAAACUCACUGUGUAAAGUGUAUGCUAUCCUAAGGUGGGACGCCAAGAUGACCAUAUAGGAACAGCUCCAGCCUCCAGCUCCCAGCAUGAGUGACAGAGAAGACAGGUGAUUUCUGCAUUUCCAAC